GCCUGGGUGGCUCAGUCGGUUGAGCAUCCGACUUCGGUUCAGGUCAUGAUCUCACAGUCUGUGGGUUCAAGCCCCGCUUUGGGCU
rnacentral:tRNA from 1 species